rnacentral:tRNA from 1 species
GGAUUGUGACUCAGUGGUAGAGCGCUCGCCUAGCACGGGAGGGACCCGGGUUCGAUUCGCAGCACCA